rnacentral:tRNA from 1 species
CGCGGGGUGGAGCAGCCUGGUAGCUCGUCGGGCUCAUAACCCGAAGGUCGUCGGUUCAAAUCCGGCCCCCGACAACCA